GGUUUCUUUCUCGCCCUUCUCUUCUCUUCUCUUCUCUUCUCUAUAAAUAACUAAGCUCCAUGGCAGCACUGGUGGCUGGUGAGCGGUGACAGCCAGAGAACGCACAGAAGCGGAUCUCUGCAAUUUUAUAAUUCUUCAUAUUAGGUCUCUGUGUUUGUAGUCUUAGGAUAUGAUAACUCUUUUGCAAUAUUUUGAAGCCUAAUAUUGCAAUUCUUUGAUCUCUUCCGAAAUCGGAGAUAGAUCAAGGAAUCUAUCGUUAGGCAAUAGUAAUUGUUUUAUUUUGUAUGCAUGAAAUUUUUCAAUUUCAUGUAUACUCUGCCUUUAGCUCCGAUUUUCCUCUCCUUUCUUUAGGAAUUAUCGGUGACAAGGUAGAUACAAUUGAAAUCCAUGAAAAGGGUGUGAUGGUGAUGGAGGAUGAUGAAACAAAUCAGACGGAUUCCCACUGAUUUUACUAAAUAUGAUAGUUACCAGCUACUUCUGACUCUUCAUCAUUAUACCUUUUUUUUGUACUUUUUUUCUUUUUUUAAGAAAAUGAGUUUAGAAAUUUGUUUUAAAGAUAAUAUAUAGGCCGGUGAUGUGAGAAAAAAUAUUUGCUACUCUUGAUGGGAUUCUAACGAAGGAAUUCCCCAGUUGAUGAUUCUUUUCCACCAAGAUCUCUGAGGCCUUGACUAGGAUCUGCCAUAUCAAGUUUCAUACUGUAUUUCACCAGUUUAAAGGAUUGAUUGCCAUUUUUUAACUCGAUUUCUCCUAAAUAUACAACUCAAAUUUGCAAUUCCAAUUUGUAAUACUCGAAUUAUAUUGGAAGCUAAGUUCUUGAUUUUGCUGGGAAAAGGAAGCAAAGCAAUUGAAAACGGAAUUUUGAAUUUUUAAAUUUGAGCACUGAUUACUCGUCAUUGCUACAUUUUGAAGGAUCAAUCUUGACUUGUCUUUUUGGUAUAGAGAGGUUGAGUGGUGAGCUAUGUAAGAAUACUUGAAAUGAAGCCCCUUUUACAAAAGGGCAUAUAAGUCUUUAUUUAUAGAAUCGUAUGAUUUUCAUUUGCAAUGAGCCAAUAAUACUCACAAAGCUAUUUUAGCCA